rnacentral:rRNA from 1 species
AGAACGAACGCUGGCGGCAUGCCUAACACAUGCAAGUCGAACGGGCCCUUCGGGGCUAGUGGCGCACGGGUGCGUAACGCGUGGGAAUCUGCCCUUAGGUUCGGAAUAACUCAGGGAAACUUGAGCUAAUACCGUAUAAUGACUUCGGUCCAAAGAUUUAUCGCCUAGGGAUGAGCCCGCGUAGGAUUAGCUUGUUGGUGAGGUAAAGGCUCACCAAGGCGACGAUCCUUAGCUGGUCUGAGAGGAUGAUCAGCCACACUGGGACUGAGACACGGCCCAGACUCCUACGGGAGGCAGCAGUGGGGAAUAUUGGACAAUGGGCGAAAGCCUGAUCCAGCAAUGCCGCGUGAGUGAUGAAGGCCUUAGGGUUGUAAAGCUCUUUACCCGGGAAGAUAAUGACUGUACCGGGAGAAUAAGCUCCGGCUAACUCCGUGCCAGCAGCCGC